CAUGACCUGAGCUGAAGUCAGACGCGCAACCUACUGAGCCACCCAGGUGUCCUUCAAAGUCAGAUUUCACAGUGUCAGAGAAGACUCUUGAACACCACUGAUGGAGACGUUGGUUGUUCGUGGGACACCCGUGAGCUCCCCUCUAUUUCUCAGCCCUCUUACAGUAGGAGGGACCGUGAUGCUGGCCUGGCCAAUUGGAUAUGGACACUUAAGGGCCACGCAUGACCCUCCCGUGGGUGUUCACCCCUGCAGCAGCUGCGGGGGACUGUGGAGAUGUCCCGUCCCAGACGGUACAGCCUCGAUUUAUCUGUGUCCCUGAAUACUUGGUAGAGUAGAGCCCAUUGCUAACUUGUCGUAGACAGAUAUUGUGAAUAAGAAAUAAACUGUCAUGCUAAGCUACUGAGUUUCAGGGGUCAAUUUGUUACCACAACAUAGUUUAUGCUAUUUGUAACUACAACAUGGUAUUUGUUACCACAACAUAGCUUAUACUGUUGAAAACUUUUUUUGUUUUGUAUUGAGAGCUUUGUAUUUUUUAAGAUGAUGAACAUAAAGUAUUAUUUGGCAGAAAUGUCUUUAUUAGAAUCCCGACUUUGUGGAAAGGAUGUAGCAACACAUAUGAAGAGUAGUACAGGAGAGUCAUCUGGCCAGAUGUAAUCUUCCUCAAACUGAACUGAGGACCUUAAGGGAGAUUCAUGCAGAGAUGUGAAACAUGGGAUUCCUCUUUCUGCUUAAGAGCUGUUCCAGGCGUUACUGACUCCGCCUCCUACCUUGUGCCUGCCCCUAACCCCGGAAAUUACCUUUAUUCCCUUCUACAAGGACUUUCAGCGUAAGAGAUUUUUGUAAACCUGGAUGCGUGGGAAGGAACCGAAGACAAAACUCACAGUCAUUUUAAGUUGAAAAUGUCCAAGUAAACAAUAUUAAAUGAUAAUUGGGCACUUAGAUUUCUGUAGCUCCCUGCGGCCGUCCCAACAGCAUCCUAUUUGAAGAUUCUGCAGAUGACACUGGUCUAAGGUUCAUUGGAAGUGACUGACUGAACCGUGAAUGUGGUCGGAACACAGCAUUUGUGGAUCAAGAAAACAGCCAGCAAGGACUUUGAUUCUCCCCUUCUAUGUGACAACUUAAUUUUUUUUUAUUAUGUUUUAAAACGGUAUGAAUUGUAAGUUGCAUAUUUUUGUUUGGAAAAUACAGAUUUAAAUAUUUUUUUAA